GUGCUUGCUUCCGCAGCACAUAUACUAAAAUUGGAAGGAUACAGAGUAGAUUAGCAUGGCCCCUGCACAAGGAUUACAUGCAAAUUCAUGAAGUGUUCCAUAUUUUU
ensembl:snRNA U6 U6 spliceosomal RNA